rnacentral:rRNA from 1 species
CCUACGGGUGGCAGCAGUGGGGAAUAUUGGGCAAUGGAGGAAACUCUGACCCAGCAAUGCCGCGUGAAUGAAGAAGGUCUUCGGAUUAUAAAGUUCUUUAUUCAGGGAAGAAGUCAAUGACGGUACCUGAAGAAUAAGCUCCGGCUAACUACGUGCCAGCAGCCGCUGUAAUACGUAGGGAGCAAGCGUUGUUCGGAAUGACUGGGCGUAAAGGUUGCGUAGGCGGUUGUACAAGUUAGAAGUGAAAUACCCAGGGCUUAACUCGGGUGCUGCUUCUAAAACUGUAUGACUAGAGUGGAGUAGAGGUUAGUGGAAGUCGUAGUGUAGCGGUGGAAUGCGUAGAUAUUAGGAGGAACACCAGAGGCGAAGGCGGCUAACUGGACUGCAACUGACGCUGAGGCACGAAAGUGUGGGGAGCAAACAGGAUUAGAUACCCUUGUAGUC